UAAGUUUGACAUAGCCAACCCGGCGAUUGGCUCACGCAUGAUGGGGGCUGAAAUUCCAAAUGAAUCACGCGGGCGCUGAAACUGGAGACGAGACAAAGCUUUGUGUUUUGUUUAAAUACAGCCUAGGGAGUCAGUUUGGUCAACAGUGACAGGUAGUAACAGCAUAUUCUUUUUGAAUUAGAUGCAUUUCUUAAAAUGCCUUUUCCGCAAAUCUUGUUUUUGAUUCUCUGUCACUUUGUGAGAGGGUACAGUGGGCACUGUGCUUUUGGGCGUUUUCUUCCACUUAAUUUUUACGUGCUCUAGUGCAUUGGCAUCUCCGUUCUUGACAUUUAUGGUAUUUUCUUGUAUGUGCUAAUGGGUUCGUUUUUCCAUCCUGCAUGAUGCCAGUGAUUCGGCCAUUGGGAUCCGGGCGUCCUCUUCCAUUCAGUCACGCUUUCACACAGGCGCCUUGAAGUUGGUCUCGUUUUAAUGUAAAUUUCUGCCUGUUGUUGCGUUAGUCUGCAUCAUACAUUAUUCAGAGUUCAUGAAGUCAGUUUUGAUGCCUGAUUUCAACGUUUCUGGCAUAGAAUAAAGUCCUGAAAAACAAAGUAGAAUAUUUGGUCUAGUCAACAAUCGCGACCAAAAGUCGUAAGAGACCCAAAUGUUGGGGUGUUUCGGUCAUAGACUAUCAAAUGCCUCUGUUAUUUUGAUGCAGUGCUUCCUGGAAAGUGUUAACUUCAAAUGAGUUAGCAGUUUUCUCUGAAGCUGACCUAUAUGUACAGAUACUGCAUAUUUAAUGAGCUAUUUUUAAGUAUCGCAGCUUAAAUGUCAAUCAAAUGGUCCAGUAGUUUCUCUAAAACUAAUGGAUCGGCAAUUUUGUCUCAAAUUUCUUUGAACGAAUAGAUGAUGCUUCAGAUCAAAGUACAUGUAUAAUAUGCGCAAGGUCAAAGCAAGGCAGCUUUAAAGAACUGUAAAUAAAGGUCUUUAUUUAGAUUUAUUUCACUGUGGGAUUAUUUUUGGACCAAUAACAGUUUAUGUCCUAGUUAUUUUUUGCUUUUAGUUUUGAUAGUUCUUGCAGAGUAACAGAGUGCAGAAUAUGGCACAGGGUUUUGUACUGUAUAUAGAGUUUUUCCUUUUUGUUGCAUUAAUUAUGAAGUUGCUAAUUAGCGUUAGCCUUAAUGGGGUGUUUUUUCAGUGACUGGGGAGAACCAGACAUAAAAGGGUUCAAUCACAGUUUGCAGUGUUGAACAGGCAUAAGAGAUUUGCAGGCAAAACCGCAGCAUGUAACUUCGUCUUGGGAACUUUAAUAACUUCUGACCAAAAAAUGCUCCCCUACGCUUCAAUUUGGAGGGAGAGGUUGUCACUGGACAGUAAACGCAUCAUUCCAGCACUGCUCGACUGGUCCCUCCACCCCUCAAGGCACAAGGAAGACACACAUCUCGGCUCUUCUCUGUCCUGGCACCUAGUUGGUGGAAUGAACUCCCCCUUGAUAUCCGAACAGCUGAAUCCUUGAAUGUCUUCAAGCGACAACUGAAAACAUUCCUUUUUCAGAAAUACCUGAAGUAGUACUUCUGUAUUCUUACUCAGCUCUUUUCCUUGUGUGUGUGUGUGUGUGUGUGUGUGU